UGGGACGCGGAUGAGAGGCCAUGGCAUGCUCUACCCAACGUGAUGGAGAGGGAGGUCCAGGCCCUUUUCAACGCGGCCUGCCAAGUCAGGCUGGGAUCCGGUGAGAUUGCCAAAUUUUGGACUGACCGGUGGCUGGAGGAUGGCAAGUCAGUGGCCCAGAUGGCGCCCCAACUCUUCUCCUUCGUCAAGAACCGCGAGCUAACUGUCAAAGAGGCUAUCCACAAUCAGGCCUGGACCAAAGACGUAGUCGGCGGGCUCUCGCUACCUGCCAUUGUGCAGUUCCUCAAGGUAUGGGAGUUGGUGGAGAACACUACCCUCAAUAUGGAUGCCAGGGACACUCCACGCUGG
rnacentral:rRNA from 1 species